GAUGAACGCUGGCGGCGUGCCUAAUACAUGCAAGUCGAGCGAACAGACGAGGAGCUUGCUCCUCUGAUGUUAGCGGCGGACGGGUGAGUAACGCGUGGAUAACCUACCUAUAAGACUGGGAUAACUUCGGGAAACCGGAGCUAAUACCGGAUAACAUGUUGAACCGCAUGGUUCAACAGUGAAAGACGGUCUUGCUGUCACUUAUAGAUGGAUCCGCGCCGCAUUAGCUAGUUGGUAAGGUAACGGCUUACCAAGGCAACGAUGCGUAGCCGACCUGAGAGGGUGAUCGGCCACACUGGAACUGAGACACGGUCCAGACUCCUACGGGAGGCAGCAGUAGGGAAUCUUCCGCAAUGGGCGAAAGCCUGACGGAGCAACGCCGCGUGAGUGAAGAAGGUCUUCGGAUCGUAAAACUCUGUUAUUAGGGAAGAACAAAUGUGUAAGUAACUAUGCACGUCUUGACGGUACCUAAUCAGAAAGCCACGGCUAACUACGUG
rnacentral:rRNA from 1 species